rnacentral:rRNA from 1 species
AGUAACGCGUGAGUAACCUGCCUUACACAAGGGGAUAGCCUUUGGAAACGAAGAAUAAUACCCUAUAAAAACAUAAAAGCACAUGCUAGAAUGGUCAAAGUGAUAGCGGUGUAAGAUGGACUUGCGUCUGAUUAGCUAGUUGGUGAGAUAAAAGCUCACCAAGGCAACGAUCAGUAGCCGGCUUGAGAGAGUGUACGGCCACAUUGGGACUGAGACACGGCCCAG